AGCAGUAGCCGCGGGAAUACGUAGGUGGCAAGCGUUAUCCGGAAUUAUUGGGCGUAAAGCGCGCGUAGGCGGUUUUUUAAGUCUGAUGUGAAAGCCCACGGCUCAACCGUGGAGGGUCAUUGGAAACUGGAAAACUUGAGUGCAGAAGAGGAAAGUGGAAUUCCAUGUGUAGCGGUGAAAUGCGCAGAGAUAUGGAGGAACACCAGUGGCGAAGGCGACUUUCUGGUCUGUAACUGACGCUGAUGUGCGAAAGCGUGGGGAUCAAACAGGAUUAGAUACCCCGGUAGUCCCUGUCUCUUAUAC
rnacentral:rRNA from 1 species